ACCGAAGAUAGUGAACCUCAGGCUUC
rnacentral:sRNA from 1 species